GCCUGGGUGGCUCAGUCGGUUAAGCGGCCGACUUGGGCUCAGGUCACGAUCUCACGGUCUGUGGGUUCGAGCCCCACAUCGGGCU
rnacentral:tRNA from 1 species